UAAGGAGGAGGACAUAUUUAGGGAAUUGAGAAACUCACACAAGGUUUAGAAUUUGAAGAUAAAUCUGCAAAGCUUAGUGACUUGUUAGUUGAUGUUGGGAAUGCCCCUGCUCAUCUCUGAAUUUUGCUUCCCUGCUUUUAACAAAAUGGAGUACUUCUCUGGGUUUAUCUCUGAUGUUCUGGGCACCAGUAACUGCCUGGAACAUCAAAGGUGGUUGAGAUUCUUGGUAAAGACCAGGCAAAGAUGCUGCAGGUGGACUGUGUAUCAAAGGGAGGACAGCAUGGGUGGUUGUGGAUGUUGCUCCUUAGGCCUUAGCCUUUAUCCUGCUGUGGUCAGUUUGAUGUAGUCUGGAGUUCAAGGACAGGUUAUCCCCCAGUGUCUGAGAACAGGGACCUCUGCUGUUUACCUGCCUCUCACACACUAAACUCUUAGCACAUCAGACCAUUCAUCCUAUGAUUACCCACUUGCAGGCUUUUGCUAAUUAUUCUGCUAAUCCGAGUGUCUUCCCUAUUGACCUGUCAGACCCUACCUGACUACUCAAAUUUCACUUCACUAAACAACAAUAACAAAUAAUUACCGAGCGCUGUGUCAGACACUGGGGAUACAAAAGAAACAA